GCUGAGAUGGUCGAGUGGUCUAAGACGAUGCACUCAAGUUGCAUUCUCGAAAGAGGCGUGGGUUCGAAUCCCACUUUCAGCA
rfam:Linderina pennispora strain ATCC 12442 DL89scaffold_2, whole genome shotgun sequence.